AACCAGACUCCUACGGGAGGCAGCAGUGGGGAAUAUUGCACAAUGGGCGAAAGCCUGAUGCAGCGACGCCGCGUGAGUGAAGAAGUAUUUCGGUAUGUAAAGCUCUAUCAGCAGGGAAGAAGUUGACGGUACCUGAGUAAGAAGCCCCGGCUAACUACGUGCCAGCAGCCGCGGUAAUACGUAGGGGGCAAGCGUUAUCCGGAUUUACUGGGUGUAAAGGGAGCGUAGACGGCAGUGCAAGUCUGAAGUGAAAGCCCCGGGCUUAACCCGGGAAUUGCUUUGGAAACUGUACGGCUGGAGUGCUGGAGAGGUAAGCGGAAUUCCUAGUGUAGCGGUGAAAUGCGUAGAUAUUAGGAGGAACACCAGUGGCGAAGGCGGCUUACUGGACAGUAACUGACGUUGAGGCUCGAAAGCGUGGGGAGCAAACAGGAUUAGAUACCCCGGUACG
rnacentral:rRNA from 1 species